CAGAGGUGAAAGUCACAGCUUUAGAAAUUCAGUGAAGUAGGUCUAUAUGAUUGUUAUUAUUAUUAUUCUUAUUAUUCUGAAACGCUUCAUGGUCGGGUAUUUUAAUAACCUUUAAUAACCGGAUCUUUUAUCACCUAUAUGAGGGGAUAAUAGGUAUCAUUGACUCACAGGCGUGAACGUACUUGAGCAGGUGAAUAUUGAUAUGACAACGCUGGCCGAAGUGUCGAGCAGUCAUUUAACCCAAUUACACUCCAUGCGCGUCGUGUUAUGUGCCGAACGAUCGGGUGUUGAACUCCAGUAAUGAGUUCGAUUUUAUGCCAAAUUUAGACCCUCUUUACUGUUUCCGAGGCGUAGCGACUGAGAGGCACCCGCCAAUGCAAUGCUCUGAGGUGUUUGGGGAAUAUGCGUCUCGGUUAUACUCUUAAUGGUGUGAAAGGUUGAAUAAAUAGCACUGCGGAUUACGGACGCGGGUGCAAUCGCCAUGAGCACCGUGUGCCUGCGCCUCUAGACCCUUUCUCAAGGAAACCUCUAUAGCUCUACCCUCCUCCGCAGCCCUGGACUUCAGCCGCUGUUUUUCUAUGGUUUUCUCGAGGGACAGAUUACACUUGCCUCAUUCGGCCGUCUGACUGGCCGAGAGAAACCUACACUCUCAGAAAAAAGAAAAAAAAAAAAAUAGUACUAAACUGUACCUUUCCUUGUCACUGGGGUGGUACACUCAAUCGAGGGUACUUGUUUUAUGUCUGUUUCACAUGGAAACAUGGAUGUAGUGUAUACCAUUACAAAUGAUUUAAGGUACAUAAAUGAAAUGGACCAUGAUUAAAGCUUUUCUCUAAAAACUGAAGGCACACUCACUAUAAGCAGCAUUCGAGGUAAUUCAUAGUAAAGGUACACAAGGUGUAAGUGUGAUUGUGGGUACCAACCCAGUGAGACUGAAAGGUACGGUUUACUCUCUCUACAACCGAGCAGAUCCACAGGAAUAUCACCUAAUAUUUAUAUAUUUAUUUCUUUUUAAAUAACUAAAGAACGAAGAGCAACCUUCUUUUAAAGAGAAUUACACUGAAUUGGGACAGGGUGUGUUCCACUAAAACAGCCUUUAUACCCUUUCACUCUUUUAUUAGCUUAUUUGUACAAAGUUAAAGUGAGAAAAAAACAAUAAUGAUGAACUAAAUGUUAGAUUGCUUUCUUUUUUUUUGUUUUGUUUUAUGAAAGACUAGAAUGUUUUUGUUUGUUUGUUUGUUUGUUUUUUAACAUUUAGGUGUGAAUUCCAGGAAAUGUUUCCACAGAUUCAUUGUGGAUCAUUCAAAUUAAAAUGACACACAAAUAAAUCUGUAAUUUGAUUACUGUAAGACGUGUUUUUAUUUACUUCUCACACAGAUACAAUUACACUUGCCUCAAUUAUUCACUUAUGGUCGUAGCUUACAUAUAUAGCUACAUAUACGUGUAAUUAUACGGGCUUUUCUUCUCAGACGAAGACAAAUACGAAGGUGUUUUUAUUAUUAUGUUUAAAAAAAAAUUACAGCAACACAGACAGAAUUUCCAAUAUGUCGACACAUUCACUGUCUGUCCUUGGAGCCUCAAGGCAGCACUUAGGCGAGAUAAGCAGUCCUAUUAUUCCUCUCUUUAAUGGUUCUGAUGAAGAUUGAUGAACUGUUUUCUUUACAG
ensembl:lncRNA